UACGAAGGGGGCGAGCGUUGUUCGGAAUUACUGGGCGUAAAGGGCGCGUAGGCGGCCGAUCAAGUUAGAUGUGAAAGUCCUGGGCUUAACCUGGGGACUGCAUUUGAUACUGAUUGGCUUGAAUUCGGGAGAGGAUAGCGGAAUUCCCAGUGUAGAGGUGAAAUUCGUAGAUAUCGAGAGGAACACCAGUGGCGAAGGCGAGUCCCUGGACAACACCUGACACUGAGGCACGAAAGCUAGGGGAGCAAACGGG
rnacentral:rRNA from 1 species